CAGAGGUGCCAAGCGUUAGGCGGAAUCACUGGGCUUAAAGCGCGUGUAGGCGGGUCGUUAAGUGUCCGAGUGAAAUCCCACGGCUCAACCGUGGAACUGCCGGGCAUACUGGCGAUCUUGAGGCAUUCAGGGGCGAGCGGAACAAAUGGUGGAGCGGUGAAAUGCGUAGAUAUCAUUUGGAACGCCAAUGGUGAAACAGCUCGCUGGGAAUGAUCUGACGCUGAGACGCGAAAGCCAGGGGAGCGAACGGGAUUAGAUACCCCGGUAGUCCUGGCCCUAAACGAUGUCCACUAGAUCGUGGCACCUCUGACGGUGUCAUGGUCGGAGCAAAAGUGUUAAGUGGACCGCCUGGGAAGUACGGUCGCAAGGCUA
rnacentral:rRNA from 1 species